rnacentral:rRNA from 1 species
AACGAACGCUGGCGGCGUGCCUAACACAUGCAAGUCGAACGAGAAAGUUUCCUUCGGGAAACCAGUAAAGUGGCGCAAGGGUGAGUAACACGUGAAUAAUCUGCCUAUGAAUUCGGGAUAACUUGACGAAAGUUGUGCUAAUACCGAAUAAGACCACGUCUCUUAUGUGAUGUGGCCAAAGGAGUCUCAAACUCCGUUUAUAGAUGAGUUCGCGGACCAUUAGCUUGUUGGCGGGAUAAUAGCCCACCAAGGCUACGAUGGUUAGCCGGCCUGAGAGGGUGAUCGGCCACACUGGAACUGAGACACGGUCCAGACUCCUACGGGAGGCAGCAGUGGGGAAUCUUGCACAAUGGAGGAAACUCUGAUGCAGCGAUGCCGCGUGAGUGAAG